AAAUUACCAUCUUCAGUAUCGUGAAGUGCCUAAAAUUUACGAAUGACGUUAUUUUUACGAAAAAUUAUUAAAUUCUAAUACGUAAGAAAAUAAAUAUCUUCAUGAAGCCUUUCUUGUCUCAAUUGAUUUCGCCUUUUUUAACCUCUUUUCUAUGAAAAAAGUUAGCGGAGACGAACAUCGGAACCUGACGAUCUUUUCAUAAACAAAAAAAUGUUUUUUAUGCUGAAGUGACUCGAAAAUUCCUUAGCACCAGCAUCGCUGCGAGCGGAAGCCAGUUUUUCUGUGUUUUCGUCGAUGCUAAUCAGCUGACGGUCGGUUAUAAUUUAGCCGUCCGUGCCGACGAAAUUUUUUGCAAUUUUUCUUUCGAUUUUGAGAAAAACGUUCCAACAAAUUUCAUCGCGUUCGAAACGAACUUGAAAAUGGGGAUAAGUUUCGAUAUCUCGAUUGUUGUCCGUCGUAGAAACUCUAUUUUCUAGUUUUUGAGAAUAAAAUAUUAGCAACAAUAACCUUUAUUCGGAAGAUUUUUUGACGAGUGCGACGUAAAAAAAUCGAUGGAAAAGGUGCAAUGAAGAGAAUUCGUGAAAAACCAGUCGCCCCUUGAUCCAAUUGAAUAAUGGUUCAUGUCAAGGCUUUGGGAACCACUCAAUUCUCUUCAUAAAUUUUAUUUUUCCCUCCUGCUAUGAUAAGUCAAAAAAUAUUCGAGGUAGACUGCACCAGGUUAACUUUUCUGGACGAAUAAAAUUUUCCUUGGAAACAAUCGUGCUUUCAUAUUCAAUAUCAUUUUCACACAGUUGUUUUUUGCAGGAAUGCUCAAGAGGCUCGGCAGCAGCUCGUCGCCAAGUGUACGAAGAACUUUUCAGGCUUUCCAAGUUUUUCAAUUAUACUUCAAUUUUACCAUUGAGGUCCUACUGGAUGAGCUUAAUUGAACGAUGUAACUUACGAGUCAACAAAUUGUACAACCGGAUCCUCGAGGAUAUCGGACAUGUCAACUUGGUUUCCUCGCUUUAUGACUUCUGGGUGUUUCUUCAUCAUCAACCAACCCACGUGACUAAAGAAAAAGCCACGAUUAGUGUUGUGAGGAUCGGCAUCCGUUUCCGAAAAUUUGUGAUGCACUCUGUGAUCUCUGACCCAAUCGAAAAUCGUAUUCUGUGAUAAUUAUUAUGUGUUGAGAAUGUAUUCAAUUGGCUUUGAAAUUUCUCAGUGAAAAUAUACCUCGUUUUUUAUUGUU